rnacentral:rRNA from 1 species
UGGGGAAUUUUGGACAAUGGGCGAAAGCCUGAUCCAGCCAUGCCGCGUGAGUGAAGAAGGCCUUCGGGUUGUAAAGCUCUUUUAGUCGGAAAGAAAGAGUCGCAAUGAAUAAAUUGUGAUUUAUGACGGUACCGACAAGAAAAAGCACCGGCUAACUACGUGCCAGCAGCCGCGGUAAUACGUAGGGUGCGAGCGUUAAUCGGAAUUACGUGGGCGUAAAGGGUGCGCGAGGUCGGUUUUGCAAGUCAGAUGUGAUAGCCCCGGGCUUAACCGUGGGAAUUGCGUUUGAAACUACAAGGCUAGAGUGCAGCAGAGGGGAGUGGAAUUCCAUGUGUAGCAGUGAAAUGCGUAGAGAUGUGGAAGAACACCGAUGGCGAAGGCAGCUCCCGUGGGUUGACACUG